rnacentral:lncRNA from 1 species
GGCAUUAAGAAGCAGUAUGCUGGAUGUUUGGCCUUGCAUCCGUCCUUCCAUGAAUUCAUGCUUGUGCAUUGCUAGUUAUUGCUUUUUUUGCAGGUCUUCUUCUUCCUCGAUCUGGUGCAACAGCAACAAUUCAAGGUCAUGGUCAUGAAGCAGCAGCCAUAUAUUUUUCUUCUUAUUCUUCCCUGAGAUGACAUGAGAUGAGGUUUGUUUUCCUCAAGGUCAAGGUGCAGCAGCUCGAUUUGAUUUGAUGUGAUUGGAUUCAUUUUCCUCAUGCCUCUCUGUUUGCAUUGCAGGCUCUAUUGGUCGGUCUUCAAUUCUUCAUGCUGCUGCUGCUACUGCUACAUGAGGACCCUCUUCAAUUCUGCAUCCGUUGCGGCCGCCGCAGCUUCCACCUCUACCCGGCCGCAUCCACAAGUGUAAGCUCCCCCUCCCUCCGUCCUAGAUCUCUAGGUCUGUUGCUGUCAUGCGCCAUGUUCUUGAUGUUGCGCGACCUCAUGUGGAUGCCACGAACGACGCUGCUCCUGCGUGCAGAUUUGAUUCGCCGCAUUAGUAUGCGGUUGUUGUCUCGCCGUGGUUGUUCAAACUGAGAUGUACCCAGUUGAUUCGUCAUCUCGGGUCAUAAAUUUUUCUGCAUUCCCUGUUGUUGUAGCUUGUUGGAUGCAUAGUUUGAUCUCCCAAUGGGAAUUAUUAGUGAAUGGUGAUGUCUGUGGUCACGAGAAUGGUGAUGUAGUAG